CCUGGUUGAUCCUGCCAGUAGUCAUAUGCUUGUCUCAAAGAUUAAGCCAUGCAUGUGUAAGUAUGAACUAAUUCAGACUGUAACUGUGAAUGGCUCAUUAAAUCAGUUAUAGUUUGUUUGAUGGUAUCUACUACUCGGAUAAUCGUAGUAAUUCUAGAGCUAAUACGUGCAACAAACCUCAACUUCUGGAAGGGAUGCAUUUAUUAGAUAAAAGGUUGACGCAGGCUACACCCCUUGCUCUGAUGAUUCAUGAUAACUCGAUGGAUUGCAAGGCCUUUAUGUCAGUGACGCAUCAUUUAAAUUUUUACCCUAUCAACUUUCGAUGGUAGGAUAGUAGCCUAUUAUGCUGGUGACGGGUGGCAGGGAAUUAGGGUUCAAUUUUGAAGACGGAGCCUAAGAAACGGCUACCACAUUGAAGGAAUGCAGCAGGCGCACAAAUUACCCAAUCAUGACACAGGGAGGUAGUGACAAUAAAUAACAAUACCAGGCUCUAUGAGUCUGGUAAUUGGAAUGAGUACAAUCUAAAUCCCUUAACGAGGAUCCAUUGAAGGGUAAGUCUGGUGCCAGCAGCCGCGGUAAUUCUAACUCCAAUAGCGUAUAUUUAAGUUGUUGUAGUUAAAAAGCUCAUAGUUAAAACUAGGGUUACAUCGUCAGGUCUGCCUCACGGAGAGCAUCGGUCUACUUAUCCCUACUACUGGUGAUGCACUCCUGGACUUAAUUGCCCAGGUCGUUCCUCUGACGUUGUUACUUUGAAGAAAUUAGAGUGCUCAGAAUAGGCCUAUGCUUGUAUACAUUAGCAUGGGAUAACAUCAUAGGAUUUCAGUCCUAUUAUGUUGGCCUUCGGGGAUUUGAGUAAUGAUUAACAGGGACGGCCAGGGGCAUUCAUAUUUCAUAGUGAGAGGUGAAAUUCUUGGAUUUAUGAAGGAUGAACAACUGUGAAAGCAUUUGCCAAUGAUCUUUUCAUUAAUUAAGAAUGAAAGUUGAAGGCUCAAAGACGAUCAUAUACCGUCCUGUCUCAACCAUAAACGAUGUUGACCAAGGAUCGACGGAUGUUACUUUUAGGACUCCAUCGGUACCUUAUGAGAAAUCAAAGUCUUUGGGUUCUGAGGGAGUAUGGUCGCAAGGCUGAAACUUAAAGGAAUUGAUGAAAGGGCACCACUAGGAGUGGAGCCUACGACUUAAUUUGACUCAACACGGGGAAACUUACCAGGUCCAAACAUAGUAAGGAUUGAUAGACUGAAAGCUCUUUUUUGAUUCUAUGGGUGGUGGUGCAUGGUUGUUCUUAGUUGAUGGAGUGAUUUCUCUGGUUAAUUCCGUUAACGAAUGAGACCUCAGCCUGUUAAGUAGCUACGCGGAGGUGAUCCUUCGUGGCUAGCUUCUUAGAGGGACUAUGGUCGCUUAGGCCAAGAAAGUUUGAGGCAAUAACAGGUCUGUGAUGCUCUUAGAUAUUCUAGGCCGCAUGCACGCUACACUGAUGUAUUCAACGAGUCUGUAGCCUUGGCUGACAGGCCAAGGUAAUCUUUGAAAUUUCAUCGUGAUGGGGAUAGAUCAUUGCAAUUAUUGGUCUUCAACGAGGAAUUCCUAGUAAGCGUGAGUCAUCAGCUUGUGUUAACUACAUCCAUGCCCUUUGUACACACUACCUGUCACUCCUACCGAUUGAAUGGUCCGAUGAAGUGUUCAGAUCACAGCGACAUGGACGGUUCACUGCCCGCGACGUCACGAGAAGUCCACUGAACCUUAUCAUUUAGAGGAAGGAAAAGUCGUAACAAGGUUUUCGUAGGUGAACCUACAGAAG
rnacentral:rRNA from 1 species